rnacentral:rRNA from 1 species
GAUGAACGCUGGCGGCGUGCUUAACACAUGCAAGUCGAACGAUGAAGCCCAGCUUGCUGGGUGGAUUAGUGUCGAACGGGUGAGUAACACGUGAGUAACCUGCCCUUGACUCUGUGAUAAGCCCGGGAAACUGUGUCUAAUACCGGAUAUGAGCGCCUGUCGCAUGACGGGUGUUGGAAAGAUUUUUCGGUCAUGGAUGGACUCGCGGCCUAUCAGCUUGUUGGUGAGGUAAUGGCUCACCAAGGCGACGACGGGUAGCCGGCCUGAGAGGGUGACCGGCCACACUGGGACUGAGACACGGCCCAGACUCCUACGGGAGGCAGCAGUGGGGAAUAUUGCACAAUGGGCGGAAGCCUGAUGCAGCGACGCCGCGUGAGGGAUGACGGCCUUCGGGUUGUAAACCUCUUUCAGUAGGGAAGAAGCGAAAGUGACGGUACCUGCAGAAGAAGCACCGGCUAACUACGUG